rnacentral:rRNA from 1 species
UACGUAGGGUGCAAGCGUUGUCCGGAAUUAUUGGGCGUAAAGAGCUCGUAGGCGGUUUGUCGCGUCGAAUGUGAAAACCCGGGGCUCAACCCCGGGCCUGCAUUCGAUACGGGCAGACUAGAGUUCGGUAGGGGAGUCUGGAAUUCCUGGUGUAGCGGUGAAAUGCGCAGAUAUCAGGAGGAACACCUGUGGCGAAAGCGGCUCACUGGACCACAACUGACGCUGAGGCGCGAAAGCGUGGGGAGCAAACAGG